UACGGAGGAUCCAAGCGUUAUCCGGAAUCAUUGGGUUUAAAGGGUCCGUAGGCGGUCAGAUAAGUCAGUGGUGAAAGCCCAUCGCUCAACGGUGGAACGGCCAUUGAUACUGUCUGACUUGAAUUAUUAGGAAGUAACUAGAAUAUGUAGUGUAGCGGUGAAAUGCUUAGAGAUUACAUGGAAUACCAAUUGCGAAGGCAGGUUACUACUAAUUGAUUGACGCUGAUGGACGAAAGCGUGGGUAGCGAACAGG
rnacentral:rRNA from 2 species